CCUACGGGAGGCAGCAGUGGGGAGUAUUGGACAAUGGGCGAAAGCCUGAUCCAGCAAUGCCGCGUGAGUGAUGAAGGCCUUCGGGUCGUAAAGCUCUUUUACCAGGGAUGAUAAUGACAGUACCUGGAGAAUAAGCUCCGGCUAACUCCGUGCCAGCAGCCGCGGUAAUACGGAGGGAGCUAGCGUUGUUCGGAAUUACUGGGCGUAAAGAGUACGUAGGCGGUUAUUCAAGUCAGAGGUGAAAGCCCGGGGCUCAACCCCGGAACUGCCUUUGAAACUAGAUAACUAGAGUCUUGGAGAGGUUAGUGGAAUUCCGAGUGUAGAGGUGAAAUUCGUAGAUAUUCGGAAGAACACCAGUGGCGAAGGCGACUAACUGGACAAGUACUGACGCUGAGGUACGAAAGCGUGGGGAGCAAACAGGAUUAGAUACCCUGGUAGUCCACGCCGUAAACGAUGAUAACUAGUUGUUCGGUCACUUGGUGACUGAGUGACGCAGCUAACGCAUUAAGUUAUCCGCCUGGGGAGUACGGUCGCAAGAUUAAAACUCAAAUGAAAUUGACGG
rnacentral:rRNA from 1 species